GCUCAGGUGGCCUAGUAGUUAGGGCGUCUGCCUUGAAUGUUGGAGGUCGGGGGUUCAAUCCCCGUCUGAGUU